CCAACCGCUCAGAAAGAGCAGCGGCAAAAAAGAAGCUGCACAGCGGCGGAGGCGCGAGCUGCAUCUGGGGAGGCGUCGCGGGCAGGGGGCCGGAAGAGUGGCGCGGUGGGGGGGGGGGAGGAGGAAGGUCGGUCGCCGCCGGCGCUGCCCCCUCAGGCAGUCGCAGGAAGAGGAGGAGAUGCUCGGGUUUCGGUGCAAGGGGCCCUCGGCGGCGUAACUGUUCCUGAUAAGGGGAGGAGAGAGCCGAGGGCUGCAUAAAGAAGGACACAUGGAAUGACAAACUGAUUAGAUAUGAAUAAACGCCAAUAAAGCCUCAGGAAGAAGUAAAAGGGGAAUCCCUUUGCAGCAGCUGCCCUGAUGUUAAGGGACUUCAUAUUGCCCAUCAUGGAGGAAGAUGGAUGGGAGUGGCUAGUGGCUCCGAUUCAGCAGCUGAUAUCCUGGGGUGCAUCUGCAGCCAUGGUGUUUGGAGGUGUGGUGCCAUACGUCCCGCAAUACCGAGAUAUUAAAAGGACACAGAAUGCAGAGGGCUUUUCAACCUACGUGUGUUUAGUGUUAUUAGUUGCAAACAUUUUAAGGAUACUCUUCUGGUUUGGGAGGCACUUUGAAUCCCCUCUACUAUUGCAGAGCAUCAUUAUGAUAAUUACAAUGUUACUGAUGCUGAAACUGUGCACUGAAGUACGUGUGACAAAUGAGCUGAAUAUAAAACGGCGCUCCUUUUCAGCUGCAGAUAGUAAGGAUGAAGAAAUCAAAACACCUCCCAAGAGAUCCUUUCUGGAUUUUGACUUGUACUAUUUCUGGCACUGGAACAAGUUUACAGAUUAUGUGCAAUGUGUUCUGGCUUUCACUGGAGUCGCAGGAUACAUCACGUACCUUUCUCUUGACUCGACUAUCUUUGUUGAAACUCUGGGCUUCCUUGCCGUGUUCACUGAAGCCAUGCUGGGCAUCCCUCAGCUCUAUCGUAACUAUCAGAAUAGGUCAACGGAAGGAAUGAGGUAAGAUGGUAUGCAUGUCUCUUAAAAUACUUCAGUCACAUUUCUGGCUCUGUUCACACACGUAAUUAUUUCUCAUUGCUUCGGCAGCCUUCCCAGAACUACUUUGAUUAAAAGAGGAAAAUAACACAACAAUUCUCUGGGGAGGUGAGGGGGGGGGAAAGCUGCUUGGAAAGGUGAUUUCAAACUGGAAAUGGCCAACUCUUCUGCCUCCACUUUUCUUUCUCUGAUUUCCCCCUUUCUCUGAGGCAGCUUUUUCCUUUUCUAAAAGGGCCAUUUAAAAUUUAAUAUACCUAUACCUUCUCCCCUCCCUGGGGUUUCCCAUGCAGGACAUCCAUUUGAAAAUCUGUGAGUCCAUCAGUGUCCAAAUUCAACAUUGCAAUGUUGAAAAGGAAAAAAGCUGCUUCCAGGAGGGGAGGGUUGAUAAGGAGAAGCAAAGUGGAGGCACAGGAUAUGUGUAGCCUUUCUCUUGUUAGCCAUUUCCAGCUUGAAAUUGUUUUCCCAAGCAGUUUUAACCUCACCACCACCCUGGGAUUUCAAGUGUAUAGAUGUACCCAUGCAAACACACAAAUUUGAAAAUCUGAGUGCAUCAGAGUCCAGUCUGUUUUCUUCUCUACAGCUUCUGGAGUUUUUCUGAAAUUCAUGAGGACAGGAAGGGAAAUAAGCCAAAAGUUAAAAAUAUGUGAAGUGUAUGAGGAAUAGUAACUGUCCUGGCCACUGAUACUUGUACUGUAGACCUGAGAAGCUUGCCAAGGGAGCUCAGAUGGAGUAUCUUCCAGUAAUUUCAUAUACUUUUGGAAUAUAUACUAAGCAAAGCCUGCAUCACUUAUAAAGCAAUUCCCCCGCCCCCACUUAGAUCUGCAUUGCAGUUGCUAUUUAAUAAGACUUUGGAGCUCUUUUUGGGUGUGGAGUGUGUUGCAGAGCGGAGAAUUUAAGCAGAGAAGUUAUAAUUCUAUUAAUGACCAUUCUAAUCUUGACAUCCAAGUACUAGAGCUCCCAGAAUAGCACAUUAGUAACAUCUAUCAAGUAAAGAAUUGCUUAAUUUCUAUUCAUCUCAGGACUUCAGUAAGUCUCCAGUCAUUUCUUGUUAUAAAUGAGUAUUUUAAUGGAAGUUAAUUGUUUUAAAAGAGAGGAUUCAAUUUAUCACUGGUGGUUAGAUUAUGUUUAAUUUCUUUGACAUCAUCUGAUUAAAAACUAGGAAAUAAGUGCAUCAUUUCAGAGUUCCCGGAUGUUAACAUAUUGCAAGAAUGUGACAUCUGAGAAAAGGAAAGAUGAUAGUUCAUAAAAUGGUAUUGGUGUCCGAAACUGGGUAUCUACUUCUAAAACUUCCUCUUCUUACCAAGUCUUCUCCAUCUUUAACUUCUACCACACCCCCUUUAACCGUCCCUUACUCUUCCUUCAUAACCACCAUAUCCUCACCUGCUGCCUUAGCUGCUACUCUUUACCAUACUCUUUGUCAGCUCUUCAGUUUUUCCUCUGCUGCAGAGAUGGGAAAUCUGUGGCCCUCCCAGAUGUUGUUGGGCUCCCCAUCAGCCCCAGCCAGCAUGGCCAGUGGUCAGAGAUGCUGGGAGCUGGAGUCCAACAGCAUAUGGACGGCAAUAGGUUCCCCCCAUCCUUGUCUAACCAUUUUACUCUAUCUUCCAAAGUUACUUUGUUUUGUGUGUGUGCUAAUCAGCUCACUCGUGACCAUGUAGACUAUUUUCCAAAACUCCAGAGAUCCACUUAUUUACACUUUAGGCAACUCUAUUGUGGCCAUUUGUCCGGUGGUUUUUUGUUUUGUUUUGUUUUGCUUUGUCUUUAAAAAAAGCUGAUUAAGAUUUGAACUCUACAAAGGUUAAUGCAAGGCAAGGGCCUUUUCUUUCUUUUUUAAUCACUUCAGGAAUGUUCUUUCAAAGAAGAAUUGCAAAGAACCAGCCUCAUUUAAUCACUAAAUGCCACAUUGGUGUUGAUGAAUGGAUUGCAGUUAUGAAUGAGAUGCACCAGCAGAAGCCGAUGAGUCAUGGGUCUGAGAGGUUUUUUAAUGGUUGUUGGCAGCGCAUGCAGGGAAAUCUGGUGGCUGAAACUGUCUGCUUUGUUGCUUUUUUAUUUUGUUUUGUUACAUCAGCAUGAAACAGGAGAGCAAUUUGAAAUAUGAACAGUUUUCCGAGUUAGGAUGGUUUCUUUCAAGUAGCUUUAUGUUCAAGGGAGAGGUGAAUGCAAUAAGCAGGAACCCCUUUUUUGUUUUCCAUUUUUUUUGGAAGGAGAUGGGUGUUCCUUUGUAGUUCAGUGGAAGGCUUUGCCUGCAGAAGGUCCCAUGUUCAAUCCUCAACAUUUUCAGUUAGAAAAGGGUAGCGGGUGAUGGUCAAGCCCUCUGCCUGAGAAUUGGAGAGCCACUGUCAGCCAGAACAGAUAAUAUUUGACUAGAGAGGUCAAUGGUUCGACUUUACUCAAUGUUAGCAGGAAAUGGUGCUUGUUGUGUGAAAUUUGAAGAGCAUGGUAGCUAAUGUGCUGUCCUCCAGAUGAUGGACUCUACAACUUCUGUCAGCACCAGCCACCAUGGCCAGUGCUCCAGGAUGAUGGGAAUUGUACUCCUGUAACAUCUGUAUGUUACAUCUGUAUGUAUGAUAGCAUGUUGGUCAUUCCUGCUCUAGACAGUGACAAAUUUCCCAGUUUUUUUUCAUUAGAAUAUCUUUGGGUUUUUUUGAUACCACCUCCCCAUUAGGGUUCCAUGAGUGGGAGAAAGGUGAGAUAUAAACAUAAGAAAAUAAAUAUUGCUUAUAUUUAUUUGUUUAACCACACACACUUGCAGAAUGCCCACCAAUUGGAGGAGGCGGUAUGUGUGAUGAGGGAGGGCGUGCCAACCCCUUUCCCCCCUACCACAUCUUCACCACCCCUCUCCAGCUCGCCUCCGAGGCCAGGUCUGGCCCUACUCUUGCAUUUUCUCAGUAGCUGCAAUUUCACUAGUUGUUAGAUGGUCUCACCAGAUGAAAGACUGGGCAGUGUGGGAGAAGGGAGGAAGGAGAGGUUGCUGUGCAACUUCACAGGUUUUGAGCUUCCCUUUCCCCACAGUUUCAUUUGAUGCUUUGGAGCAGUGCACUUGGAAGAGAGCUUGUAUAUGUGCCUGCAUGCUCCAUCUAGGAGCAACUGUGGCUCCAGGGGACAUCUCCCUGUGAUUGUCCCUCUGUGUGUGGGAAGGCCAGACCAGAACCAAGAAGCUGGAGCUGGUGCUGCUUGGAUAAACAAUCCAGGCUGUGCUUUCACUUGCUGGUCUUCUAGCUCUUCAGCCAGGCAGCAGCAGCAGCUUCAGGGUCUGGUCCUUUGGAGUUUCGGCACCCCAUGGCAACUCAAAGAAACUCUUGAAAGUGGCCCUGUUGUUCCUCUACCCUUCAGUCAUGUUGAACAAUUUUGGGGUCAGCACGCAUCACAAUCUCUAAACAAAUUACUGCUUUCAACUUAUCACCUUAUUGGUAACAUUAAGCGGGAUUUAGCACUACAAGGAGAUUGAUGAAUGCAAGUGCAUUGUGGGAAGCUCCUUAUGUCUGAUGACGGCCAUGGGAGAAGAGAUAAACAGUAGAGGAGAACACCAUUUAUGGAGUUUUAUAUGUCCCUGGCGUUAAAUGUACCAAAGCUUUCUCUUGCUGAAGGGUGUGAUUAAGACACAAAAAUUAACUAAGGAUAUUUUCACUAGCUCUCGUGUGGAACACUUGUAUUUUAAGACCAUUGAUUCAGGCUAUGGGGAGUAUUAAAGUUAUAAUAGGAAAACUUUAAUAUAUAUUUAUAUUUACAAGAGAGAGAGAGGGAGAGACUUCAUAUUCUACUGUAAUUGAAAACCUCCUAAUAUUUAAAUAGCAUGGACAGACCACGGAGAGAAUAUAAUAAGACAAAGAUAUGAAUCAUUGGCAUGGUACCAGCUAAAAUGAACUUGGGGUUUAAAUAUUUUAUUACCACUAUAAAUUCAUAUGUUCUUGAGGGGAUUGCAAGAAGAAGGAUUAAAUAAAUUUAUAUUUAAUAAUAGUGGGUUCUGCUGUGACCCUCAGCCUGCAAGAAUUGUUCCCCAAAGCAAUAAUAAUCUCUCAUUAAAUUGUUUGUAGAAUUCAUAUUAGAAAUAAGUAGAACACUAUUGCACUUGGUGUUCUCAAUUGUCUCUAUGAAUAAAAAGGUAAACAACCAGCGUUUGUUUAUGUGCACCGUGGCCUGGUGUUUAGGGUGCAGAGUCUUACAACUCAUCCAUUUUCAGGGCCCCUGUUCCCAAAUAGUGUUGCUCUCCUGCAGUCAUAGGGAGAUAUGACUUAAGUGACUGCAUAUAGAUGUAAAAUAGCAUUGAGUGCAGUGUAGUGCCUUGCAGCACCCCACGGUUUGCCAGGGGGCUGUGGCACAGUCACACAGUGCUGCUCUGUGGUAAUCAAACCACUGAAAUGCAGUGCUUCUGACCCCAGUGUGUAGAGAUGAUUCAGAAGAAUGCCUUUGGCCAACAAUGCAUGGAGAAUACUGGAGAAUACUGUGAACAGCAGCAUCAAAAGAGAUCUGCAAGAUUAACAGGGUCACAUUCCCUCUGCCUCUCUCACAGAGGUGGGCAUCCAUUAGGGCAAUUCUGUCUCCAAACCAGGCCUCAGACCUGAUUGAAAUGGCUCCAGAUAAUCAGUUCCCUCCAACAGUUUCUGCAGCUUAAUACACACCCUCUUAUGCACCUUGCACAGAAAGGGACAUUAGUUGGAAUAAACCUCUGGUUCCUUGGAAUAAAAUGCCAGGUCUAUUCUGUGGAUUCACCCAGUUUAUCAGUGGUGGGGUGGGGGUAGCUUUAAGAAGUCACAAUAGGCAAGUAAGCCAUCCUGCUACAAGUGUCUUGUCCACAUUCUCAGGCCUUGAAAAUUGAAACUGGUGCCAUAAAAUAGGACGAGACAGUGCAUUGGAUGCCUCAUCAGAUACUAUUUCAGCAGUGAUGAACAGAUUUCCAUGGAGUGUCAAGAUGGUGCUGAUGUGGACCAGUGGUGACACCUUCAAGACCAUGUACUUCCUUGUGAACCAGGCUCCCUUCCAGUUCUCUAUCUGUGGACUUCUACAGGUCUUUGUGGAUAUGGCCAUUCUGUUGC